GUGGACAUAGUUUAACCAAAACAUCAGACCGUGAACCUGAAAACAGAAGCCCACCCCUUCUUGCCCACC
rnacentral:tRNA from 1 species